rnacentral:rRNA from 1 species
AACGAACGCUGGCGGCAGGCCUAACACAUGCAAGUCGAACGCAUCGCAAGAUGAGUGGCAGACGGGUGAGUAACGCGUGGGAACCUUCCCAGUGGUACGGAAUAGCUCAGGGAAACUUGGGGUAAUACCGUAUAAGCCCGAAAGGGGAAAGAUUUAUCGCCAUUGGAUGGGCCCGCGUAGGAUUAGCUAGUUGGUGAGGUAAUGGCUCACCAAGGCGACGAUCCUUAGCUGGUCUGAGAGGAUGAUCAGCCACACUGGGACUGAGACACGGCCCAGACUCCUACGGGAGGCAGCAGUGGGGAAUAUUGGACAAUGGGCGCAAGCCUGAUCCAGCCAUGCCGCGUGAGUGACGAAGGCCUUAGGGUUGUAAAGCUCUUUUGGCGGGGACGAUAAUGACGGUACCCGCAGAAUAAGCCCCGGCUAACUUCGUG